CGCAUCCAACUGGACCGGCGUUGGCCCAGCAGAACUCAGGCUUUGGCACACAAAGCCCUGGUGCCGGAAAGAGGAGAGGGAAGCAAAAGGAGGCGUUUGCAAUGGCGACGCGGACCAAGUUGGUCGCGAAGCGGUCGAGCAAAUAUCUGGAAGAGGCGCUGUACAAGAGGCUCUUCCGGCAGGGUAGCUCGCCGGGGAGCGUCCGCCAGGAGCUCGACGACUUCCUCAAGAGCCGCAAGCGCGUCUUCAAAUGGGAGGUCGGCGUCUCCAUCCGCAAGCUCCGCAACCGCAAGCGCUUCCGCCCCGCUCUCAAGCUUUCAGAGACCAUGGCCAGAAGAGGUAUGAACUUAACUCUCAGUGAUCAAGCUAUACGUCUAGAUCUUGUAGCCAAAGCCAGAGGCAUUGCUUCUGCCGAGGAGUAUUUCAUCAAUCUCCCAGAACCCACUAAAAAUCACCUUACAUAUGGUGCGCUCCUGAACUGCUACUGCAAGGAAUUAAUGACGGACAAGGCUGAGGGCCUUAUGGAGAAAAUGAAGGAACUGAAGUUUGCCUCAAGUCCUAUGGCCUAUAACAGCUUAAUGACCCUCUACACUAAAACCGACCAACCAGAAAAGGUUCCUAGUAUUAUACAAGAGAUGAAGGCUAAUGAUGUGUUGCCGGAUUGUUAUACUUACAAUGUUUGGAUGAGGGCUCUAGCUGCCAUCAACGAUAUCUCUGGUGUUCAAAGAGUCAUAGAAGAGAUGAAAAGGGAUGGGCGAGUUAUGGCGGAUUGGACUACGUAUAGUAAUCUAGCAUCCAUUUAUGUAGAUGCUGGCAUGUUUCAGAAGGCAGAAGGAGCUCUCAAAGAGCUAGAGAAGAGAAACACGGAUCAAGAUCUUGGAGCCUAUCACUUCUUGAUCACGUUGUAUGGUAGAACUGGCAAUCUAGUUGAAGUGCACCGUAUCUGGCGUUCUCUGAAGCUGGCACAUUCUAAGAUGGCAAACAUUAGCUAUCUAAAUAUGAUUCAGGUGCUGGUGAAUUUGAAGGACUUGCCAGGUGCUGAAGCACGUUUCAAGGAAUGGGAAUCCAAGUGCUCAACAUAUGAUAUCCGGGUGGCAAAUGCAAUGAUUAGAGCUUAUGCUAAAGAGGGCAUGUUAGAUAAGGCUGAAGGUGUUAAGAAGCAUGCAAAGAUGCGUGGCGGAAGACUUAAUGCCAAAACAUGGCAGAUAUUCAUGGAAUAUUAUAUGAGUAAAGGUGAUAUGAAAAUGGUGCAUUGGUGUGCUGACCGUGCAAUUAAGAAGGGGAGAAGCCAUGGUAGGAUUUGGGUCCCACCUUGUGAGGUGAUCCAGGCUAUAAUGGCGUUUUUUGAGGAGCAGAAGGAUGUUGCAGGUGCUGAAAAGUUUAUUGAGCUUCUACAGAAAGUGGAGAUGGAUCUGGGGCCAGAGAUAUUUGAGGCCCUAAUAAGAACAUAUGCUGCUGCUGGGAAGAACAGCCCAGGGAUGCGGAGGCGAUUGAAGAUGGAGAAUGUGGUUGCGAGCCAAGCCACUGAAAAAUUGCUGGACACUGUGUGUAGCAUGAUCUAAUCUUUCUUAAAAUAAGGUUGAGGAUGCUACAUGUUUCCAACUUAGCAACUGACUAUUUUGAGGUUAUUGAUGAAGAGAGUUUUGACACACCAUAAGCGGGAAUGGAUACUGUCUUGCUGUUCACAAGACAUCAACUCUCUGCUGUGUGAAGGCUGCUGACUUGUUUGUUUUGAAAGGUUUCCAGGGAUUUAGCCUUUCUGUCAUCUGAAAUUGCAUAAAUAUUGAUUAAUAUAUGAGAAGCUCCAACUGACAUGGGCAUUUCUGGAGGCAAAACUAUUGUGGUGGUGGGAUAUCAUAUAUGGAGUCCCACGAUGGUGAAGAUGUGGAACAUGGAAGGUAUCUUUUUAGGCAGCAAUUAUAGCCAAUAGGAACUGAUCCUUAAUGGAAGCCGGGUAAUUGCUGAACCAUUUAGAGAGUGCACAAAUUUCUUAUAUCCAGAGGAAAGAAAAUUGUGGCAUAUUAGCAUGCACAAUGAGGUCAGAAUCAUGGACGGCAAUGUCUUGGGAGAGACAGGGGCCAUAGAUAUGAUAAGAAACCCUAGGACAAAAGGGCUGAUGCAGGAAAUGAUGAUGAUUGGAAAAUACUCAUUCUUUUAACGUGGUCGUGCCAUGAGCAAUAGCUUGUGUUCUAAAGUCGAGAAGAAUUCGAGUUAGAGUUUCCUCAAUUUCCAUUCAUUUUGUGGUUCUGUCAGACGGUAUCCCUGU